ACCAAACUUCUUGUCUUAUCCACUCCUACGCUGAUGAUACCACCCUGCACUUUUCCACGUCUUUUCAUAGACGUCCAACCCUUCAGGAGAUAAACAUAUCACGCAGGGAAGCCACAGAACGCCUGACUUCUGAUCUUUCUAAAAUUUCUGAUUGGGGCAGAGCAAACUUGGUAUUGUUCAAUGCCUCAAAAAGUCAAUUCCUCCAUCUAUCAACUCGACACAAUCUUCCAGACAACUAUCCCCUCUUCUUCAAUGACACUCAACUGUCCCCCUCUUCUACACUGAACAUCCUCGGUCUGUCCUUUACUUAUAAUCUGAACUGGAAACUUCACAUCUCAUCUCUAGCUAAAACAGCUUCUAUGAAGUUAGGUGUUCUGAGACGUCUCCGCCAGUUUUUCUCACCCCCCCAGCUGCUAACUCUGUACAAGGGCCUUAUCCGUCCAUGUAUGGAGUAUGCUUCACAUGUCUGGGGGGGUUCCACUCAUACUGCUCUUCUAGACAGGGUGGAAUCAAAAGCUUUUCGUCUCAUCAACUCCUCUCCUCUAACUGACUGUCUUCAGCCUCUCUCACACCGCCGCAAUGUUGCAUCUCUAGCUGUCUUCUACCGCUAUUUUCAUGCUAACUGCUCUUCUGAUCUUGCUAACUGCAUGCCUCCCCUCCUUCCGCGGCCUCGCUGCACAAGACUUUCUUCUUUCUCUCACUCCUAUUCUGUCCACCUCUCUAACGCAAGAGUUAACCAGUAUUCUCAAUCAUUCAUCCCUUUCUCUGGUAAACUCUGGAACUCCUUGCCUGCUUCUGUAUUUCCACCUUCCUAUGACUUGAAUUCCUUCAAGAGGGAGGUUUCAAGACACUUAUCCACCAAUUUUUGACCACUGCUUUGACCCUUUUAAGGGACUGGCAUUUCAGUGGGCAUUUUUUUUUUAUUAGAUUUUUGUUGCCCUUGGCCAGUAUCCUUCCUACAUAAAAAAAAAAAAAAAAAAAAAAAAAAAAAAAAUCAAUGUGAUUUUCAGACACACUUCAGUCACAAGAUGAAUGCAGUCAGCUACAGCAUGACAUAGACAAGCUAUAGACAGUUGAGAGAGGAAGAAGUCAGUGGCACCCUCACCUCAGACAAGACAAAGCUAACAAUUGAUAAUGAAAGACACACUUCAGUCACAAGAUGAAUGCAGUCAGCUACAGCAUGACAUAGACAAGCUAUAGACAGUUGAGAGAGGAAGAAGUCAGUGGCACCCUCACCUCAGACAAGACAAAGCUAACAAUUGAUAAUGAAAGACACACUUCAGUCACAAGAUGAAUGCAGUCAGCUACAGCAUGACAUAGACAAGCUAUAGACAGUUGAGAGAGGAAGAAGUCAGUGGCACCCUCACCUCAGACAAGACAAAGCUAACAAUUGAUAAUGAAAGACACACUUCAGUCACAAGAUGAAUGCAGUCAGCUACAGCAUGACAUAGACAAGCUAUAGACAGUUGAGAGAGGAAGAAGUCAGUGGCACCCUCACCUCAGACAAGACAAAGCUAACAAUUGAUAAUGAAAGGUGAC